AGCUACAUAUAUAACAUUUGUAUUCUAUUAGGUACUAUAAGUAAUCUGCAGAUUAUUUAGAGUAUAGUGGAGUAUUUAUGUAUGUUAUAUGUAAGUACUAUGAUAUUUUAUUUAAGGAACUUGAACUUCUUUGGAAUUUUAAUCCAAGAUGGUUCUGAAACCAAUUCUCCUGCCCCUGCAUUGGAUACUAGGGUAUGGAUGUACAAUAUAAUGACUACUUUAUGUAUUUUCUAUAGGGUUUAUCGAAAACUUAAAGUUAUUUCUUAGCCAAAAUGUCCAUGUCUAUUCUGGUACUGUUAACCUUUGUAUCAGGUGGAAAACAACCAAGAAUACAGGCUCAGAUAAUGAGUUCUGAUAGAGGAACACAAUUCAUUAAAGUGCUGCUAGAAAGCUGUACUUUGAAGUCUUGUGAAGGAAAAUUAAACUUGGCAGGAAUUGGAGGGCAGAUACCCAACUUUUUUUUUUUUUCCCUCCCUCACAGUAAAGUUGAGGGUAGUUGUUUGUCAGUUCCGUCUUGGCAGGAGGUGGCUCAGGAAAAAGGAAUCUAGAAAUUGUUUUUCCUAUAAAGAUAAAGUAAAAGCUAAUUUACUGUCCUACUAAAUCUCAUGCCUCACUUCAACAGAUCAAGGUGAAAUCAGUGAUCAGAGGAAUCAAAUACUAAAGAGAUGUCAAUAAAAUUAGUUUAGACCACUGACAGAUUUUCUUUCCUUCCAUAAAUUGUGAAAUAAAACCCAAGAUAAAUUUUAUUAUCUUGUAAAGAAGGCUUGUGAUUUAAAAGAAAACCUAUGAAAUGGACAAAGCAUAGAGCAAUGUAACAAAAGUAUUUCUUGUAGAAAACCAAAAAAAUGAACAUUUUUAAAAUUGCUCAAAGUGUUAGAGAUAUCCCUAUAAAACUCUGCUUUAUAGAAACUAAUUUUUUUAAAAAUUGGCUUAAUUUUUUUAGAACAGUGCAGUUCAAGGUUACCAUGCAUAUAUUAAAUAAUUACUUUAUUAAUUAAAUUUCAUGGCUUAUUAAGAUUUCCUUAGUUUUUAUCUAAUGUCCUUCAUUUGUACCAAGAUUUCAUCCAGGAUUCUACACUGCAUUUGUUUGUCAUGUCUACUUAGGCUCCUUAUGGCCAUGGUAAUUUCUCGUUUUUCAGUGACUUUGUCAAUUUGGAGGAGUACUAAUUGUGAGGGCAGUAGGGAGGAAGGAGGCAGAGGCUGGAGCAGUGAGUUUGCAAGCAGGGUUUAUUGGCCAACAGAGUGGCCAGGAGCACUGAGCAAGUAAAACUCAGGGCCACUGCUGUUGGGAGAGAAUCAGGUUUUAUAGGUAGGGGGUCAUGUUCUGAGUUCUACAGUUCCAGGAUGGCAGUUGAGAUCACGGUAUAAAAUUUAAUUUUCUCCUUGGAGCUGUCUUUGUCAGCCACUUCCUGGGCUUGGAUGUUUCACCUGUGGAGGUCUGAUAAAGUGGAGACUGCAGGUCCGGGUCUGGGUGAGUCAAUGAGCCAUGCGGACUUAUUCAUUCUUAGGCCUGUCUUUUAGUUUUUACCUAAGACUAAACAGAUAUUUUAAAGUAGGUUAUAUGGAAUCCAUCUCAUAAUUUUCUCAUGAUAAUAUUGGGAUUCAUAGAUACAAACUAUUGCCUUUGGAAUGGAUUAGCAAUGAGAUUCUGCUGUGUAGCCUUGGGAACUAUGUCUAGUUACUUGCGAUGGAGCAUGAUAAUGUACGAAAAUAGAAUGUGUACAUGUAUGGGUAGCUAGGUCACCAUGCUGUACAGUAGAAAAAAAUUGUAUUGGGGAAAAUAACUAUUAAAAAUAAUAAUAAUAUUGGGAUUCUAAGUUAUUGGGAGGAAGAUGACAGAGAAAAAGUGCCAUUUUCGGCAUACUUUCUCCAAACACAUACAUCAAUAGGGUUUAUGAUUGUUGAUACUGACUUUCAUCAUCUGGCUAGUGUUGUAUUCAUUAGAUUUCUCCUCAGUGAAUGUAUUCUUUUUUCUCUCUUUUCUGUUCUCUUUCUUUGGAGAGAGAUAGCACUUUUCUUUAUCCCCAAAGCACCUUUAUUGUUGUUUAUCAGGGGAGGUGCAGGCUGUUUUUUUUUUUUUUUUUCUUAUUAUACUGAGCUGUGGUUGGACAGAAGGGCAGCUUUGAUUAUUUCCAUACUCUAAGUACCUUUCACAGAGUUUGUUGUAUAGGGAAUUUUCAAGUAAAUAUGUGUUGAAUCAAAAGAUGUUUUGUAAUAAAUCAAAAAUUUUUAACUCAAAACUAGUUUUAAUAAGCCAAUAUGCAUAAAGGGCAGUAUAUUUUGUCCUAAAAUUAGAAUAUAGCCUUAAAAUAUCCUAAAAAGUUGGGAGUUCCCAUUGUGGCUCAGCAGAAAUGAAUCUGACAAGAAUCAAUGAAGAUGCAGGUUUGAUCCCUAGCCUCACUCAGUGGGUUGGGGAUCCUGUGUUGCUGUGGCAUAGACUGGCGGCUGCAGCUCCAGUUCAACCCCUAGCCUGGUAAUUUCUAUAUGCUACGGGUGCAGCCCUAAAAAUGCAAAAAUAAAAAAAAAUAAAUAAAACUGGAAAAGUUGAACAGCUGUUCUUGAAAAAGCAUGAGUAGAUUUUCAUAAAGAUAAAAGGCUCUAGAAAAAUAUAUUAUGAAACAGUUCAAAAAAGGAUAAUAACUUAAUAUUGAUUCUAUUUAACAUUUCUUCUAAAAAUAUUUUAACUACAUUAAUAAAAUCUGAAAAGUUGUUUUUACCUAUAGAAUGGAAACUUUCUCCAAUAUGGUUAUAUGAUGCAAGGAAUAGCUCAUUUUAAAAUUGUAUAUAAUUCUGAAAGGAGUUUUUCUUAUUCUUUUCAUUUCUAUUUUGAUUCUAAAAUUAUACUUUGAAGAUUUUUUUAAAUUUUUUUUACUCAAGAAGUGAGAGUGGUAGCAUUACCUUUGAGAUAAGGAGUCUUCAGGAAAGAAAUGACAUAGCUUAAACUCAUGAAUGGAGAUAAAUUUCCUUAGAGGUUUUCCUGUUUCACUUGGCUUAAAAUGUGGCAUUUUAUAUUUGUUAGAAGCCAGACUUAUGUUGAAGAUAAAAUUUUGACUUAUUCUUUUGUGGACUUAGAAAUUAAUCAUUUGCCACAUAGUCAAAACCUCUCUUUAACAUGAAGUCCUUAUUCAUUCUCAAAAUGAGACUUAAAGAUCUCCAUGUUUCAUAAAUCUGAGGAAACUAGCUCUAUAUUUUGGGGUUUGCGAUUUUUGUUUUUUGUUUUCCUAUUGGAUCACUGAUUCUGUUUACUAUUUUCAGGUCCAAAUAUUUCAAAUUAAGUCUUACAGUAUAGACACUACCCCAGCAGAAAUCAAAUGCAUGGAAACUGUUAUCCACAUACAAGUGCUUCCUCAGAAUUGUACUUCACUUCUUGUCAAGUCUCUGGAAUUUACUGUUAUUCAGUAAGCUCAUACCCUAUAAUAAAUACAGCACUGAAUAAAGGCAAAGCACAAAACUUCUAUUUAUUACUAAAUUUAUGUACCAUAUAAACAAGCCAUUAUUAAAUUAAUACUUGUCUGCUAUCCAAAACAUAUGUUUUUAUUUAAAAUAGAAAUAAUAAAUAUGCAUACUAUAGGAUUUAUUAAGAACACUUGGUGGAUGCUAUUUUAGUUUUAAAAUUCUUUCAAUUGUAGUAAUCUACUUUGUUCAAUCCUUUGUCUCUAUUGAUAUUUCCACCAUGAAAUAGAUCCAUGACUUUCUAAAUUCAAAGGAAAUUUUCACCCAGAGUACUCAAUUCUUUAGAUAUCCUUUCUUUGUUCCUUUCAAGAAACAGGAGGGAGAACUGCCUUAAAUGAUCAUAAGUAAACUGUGAAAUCUUAUAGACCUUGGCCUGAAUUCUAUUUUUUUUUUUCAUUAUGAGCUUUGAGAGAGAGUACAAAUUAUUUAAAUGGUCCAAAGCUCAAUUUCUUCCUCCAUUAAGUCGGGAAGAAAAAAAAGCAAAACAAAUCCCCAUGUAAACUUGACUUGAAGAUAAAAUGUAUAUCUGCAUGGAAAUAACACUAUAUUUUACAUUGUUAGCACUAGUCAGUAUCAACUAUAUAAAAUAAGAAUGGAGAGAAAUAAAUAAAAACUCCUAGACUCAGAUAUUCUACAGGCUCCAGAGAGGAUCUCUGUUCCCAUAGCCAAAAACCCACUGUUCAUUUUUCCUGUUGAGCUUUACUGUUCUAUCUUUACCCAGUUUGUUGCCUACUUUUAAUCUUUAGAGUAUAAAAAGAAAGGGAGUAUAUACUGUGUAUAUAUGAGAAAGGGAGUAUUCUAAGAUUGUAUUUUUUUUUUCUGAGUCAGAGUCCUUUUUCUUUGCUUUGUUUUUAUCAAAAUAUUCUCCAGGUGUA
rnacentral:lncRNA from 1 species